AAUCAACGCUGGCGGCGUGCCUAACACAUGCAAGUCGAACGCGAAAGGGGAGCAAUCCCUGAGUAGAGUGGCAAACGGGUGAGUAACACGUGGGUGACCUGCCUUCGAGUGGGGGAUAACGUUCCGAAAGGAACGCUAAUACCGCAUGACAUCCUGCUCUUGGACGAGCGGAGAUCAAAGCUGGGGAUCGCAAGACCUGGCGCUUGAAGAGGGGCCCGCGCCUGAUUAGCUAGUUGGUGAGGUAACGGCCCACCAAGGCAACGAUCAGUAUCCGGCCUGAGAGGGCGGACGGACACACUGGGACUGAGACACGGCCCAGACUCCUACGGGGGCAGCAGUGGGGAAUAUUGGACAAUGGGCGCAAGCCUGAUCCAGCAAUGCCGCGUGUGUGAAGAAGGCCUGCGGGUUGUAAAGCACUUUAAGCAGGAAAGAAGGGGUGGGAGCUAAUAUCUUUCAUCAUUGACGUUACCUGCAGAAUAAGCACCGGCUAACUCCGUGCCAGCCGCCGCGGUAAAAC
rnacentral:rRNA from 1 species